GAUGAACGCUGGCGGCGUGCUUAACACAUGCAAGUCGAACGGUGAAGGCGGAGCUUGCUCUGCUGGAUCAGUGGCGAACGGGUGAGUAACACGUGAGCAAUCUGGCCCUGACUCUGGGAUAAGCGCUGGAAACGGCGUCUAAUACUGGAUACGAGCUGCGAAGGCAUCUUCAGCAGCUGGAAAGAACUUCGGUCAGGGAUGAGCUCGCGGCCUAUCAGCUUGUUGGUGAGGUAACGGCUCACCAAGGCGUCGACGGGUAGCCGGCCUGAGAGGGUGACCGGCCACACUGGGACUGAGACACGGCCCAGACUCCUACGGGAGGCAGCAGUGGGGAAUAUUGCACAAUGGGCGAAAGCCUGAUGCAGCAACGCCGCGUGAGGGACGACGGCCUUCGGGUUGUAAACCUCUUUUAGCAGGGAAGAAGCGAAAGUGACGGUACCUGCAGAAAAAGCGCCGGCUAACUACGUG
rnacentral:rRNA from 1 species